rnacentral:rRNA from 1 species
GACAGAGGAUGCAAGCGUUAUCCGGAAUGAUUGGGCGUAAAGCGUCUGUAGGUGGCUUUUAAGUCCGCCGUCAAAUCCAGGGCUCAACCCUGGACAGGCGGUGGAAACUACCAAGCUGGAGUACGGUAGGGCAGAGGGAAUUCCGGUGGAGCGGUGAAAUGCGUAGAGAUCGGAAGAACACCAACGGCGAAAGCACUCUGCUGGGCCGACACUGACACUGAGAGACGAAAGCUAGGGGAGCGAAUGGGAUAGAACCAUACCGACGAG